rnacentral:rRNA from 1 species
AUUGAACGCUGGCGGCAGGCUUAAAACUUGCAAGUCGAGCGGGGAAGGGUAGCUUGCUACCUGACCUAGCGGCGGACGGGUGAGUAAUGCUUAGGAAUCUGCCUAUUAGCGGGGGACAACAUUCCGAAAGGAAUGCUAAUACCGAAUAAGCACUACGGGGGAAAGCAGGGGAUCUUCGGACCUUGCGCUAAUAGAUGAGCCUAAGUCUGAUUAGCUAGUUGGUGGGGUAAAGGCCUACCAAGGCGACGAUCUGUAGCGGGUCUGAGAGUAUGAUCCGCCACACUGGGACUGAGACACGGCCCAGACUCCUACGGGAGGCAGCAGUGGGGAAUAUUGUACAAUGGGCGAAAGCCUGAUCCAGCCAUGCCGCGUGUGUGAAGAAGGCCUUUUGGUUGUAAAGCACUUUAAGCGAGGAGGAGGCUACCGAGAUUAAUACUCUUGGAUAGUGGACGUUACUCGCAGAAUAAGCACCGGCUAACUCUGUGCCAGCAGCCGCCGUAACAC